AACUCUAAGGUAGUGACCAUGACAUCUGUCACUUCACUGAUCGCCAGGGUUGAUUUGGCUUGAUCUGGCUGGCUAAGCAGGUCUCCCCUUCCUCCCUCACCAGUCCAUGUGCUAACUGAGGUCUCAGUUGAAGCAGACGACCUUCCUCCAUAGAGGAGGAUCAUUCUUGAGUCAAGGGUAUAAGAGUAGGUACAUUCCCCUGCUAGACUCUCCUCCAAACCAGCUCUUCAGGACAUGUUUUUUAUUUUAUUUUAUUUUUUUGGUUUUUAUAUAAGCACAUUUCAUAUGCACUUAGGGGGGAAAUAACCUCAGGGAAA
rfam:Ictidomys tridecemlineatus contig000603, whole genome shotgun sequence.